rnacentral:misc_RNA from 1 species
AAACCAGGUUCAGGAGGCAGCUGACCUGGCUAAAUCCAAGGAAGCAAGAGUUACUGAACUUGAAGCCAUUUUAAGUAGUAGCUCAAAGAGUGAAGAAGAGACUACUGAAGGUGAGUUCGAGAGUCUCUUCAGACUGAAAAUUGAAGCUGAAGUUCAGUAUGUGGCAUUGUCAACAACAGCACAAAAGUUGAGAAGUGCAGCAGUAUAUCAACUUACCCUCUUGGAAGAACAGAAGACACUAGCUUCAGAACAAGCACAGAUGGUGCACGUGCUAGGAGAUGCCGAAGCAAAGGCUGUAGUGCUCAAGACACAAACCAAGAAGUUGGAAACUUACUGUGAAGAUUUAGCAAGCACUGCCGAAAAGCUAAAGCUACAGAAGAAAGUCUGUAAGUACAGUUCGUGUUUUUUCAUACAGUUGGUGUUGUUGGCUGUUGUUGUUGGACUGUUUCUGAUGCAGAUAUCUCCUGAUCAUGCUGAACUUGUACCCACCUAAUGUUAGAGAAGUUUCUUUCUCUCUCUUUUUUUCUUCCACUCCCUAUUAUCAACAUCGUCAUCCUUCAAUGUUGAAAGUUAGAUUAGUUUGUUUUUUAGAUGUCUAUAGAUAGCUGAAAUACCUACUUCUCAUUUUGCUGAGUCUGUAUUCAAGGGUAAUCAUAGAAGAUGAUCCGUUUUUUGCUUCUGUAAAAGGCUGUGCACUUUGAAGUUUUUUAACCUGG